UAAAAGGAUCAUUUCGCUUGGGGGUGG
rnacentral:piRNA from 1 species